rnacentral:rRNA from 1 species
AGUGAACGCUGGCGGUAGGCCUAACACAUGCAAGUCGAACGGCAGCACAGUAAGAGCUUGCUCUUACGGGUGGCGAGUGGCGGACGGGUGAGGAAUACAUCGGAAUCUACUUUUUCGUGGGGGAUAACGUAGGGAAACUUACGCUAAUACCGCAUACGACCUACGGGUGAAAGCAGGGGAUCUUCGGACCUUGCGCGAUUGAAUGAGCCGAUGUCGGAUUAGCUAGUUGGCGGGGUAAAGGCCCACCAAGGCGACGAUCCGUAGCUGGUCUGAGAGGAUGAUCAGCCACACUGGAACUGAGACACGGUCCAGACUCCUACGGGAGGCAGCAGUGGGGAAUAUUGGACAAAGGGCGCAAGCCUGAUCCAGCCAUACCGCGUGGGUGAAGAAGGCCUUCGGGUUGUAAAGCCCUUUUGUUGGGAAAGAAAAGCAGCAGGUUAAUACCCCGCUGUUCUGACGGUACCCAGAGAAUAAGCACCGGCUAACUUCGUG